UGCGGCCUACUCCGGUUGAUCCUGCCGGACCCGACCGCUAUCGGGGUGAGACUAAGCCAUGCGAGCCGAACGCCUCCAGGCCAGGGUGGAGGCGUGGCGCACGGCUGAGUAACACGUGGCUAACUUACCCUUAGGACGGGGAUAACCCCGGGAAACUGGGGCUAAUCCCCGAUAGGCAAGGGGGCCUGGAAUGGUCCCUUGCCGAAAGGGGGCUGAGACCAUGCUUCUCAGCUUCCGCCUAAGGAUAGGGCUGCGGCCCAUCAGGUUGUUGGCGGGGUAACGGCCCGCCAAGCCGAUAACGGGUAGGGGCCGUGAGAGCGGGAGCCCCCAGAUGGGCACUGAGACAAGGGCCCAGGCCCUACGGGGCGCAGCAGGCGCGAAACCUCCGCA
rnacentral:rRNA from 1 species